CAACUGCCUCUUGGAUAAAUGCGCCUGGAUGUCUCACAUCCGGGAACUCAGAGUGUUAAAACUUGAGCUCAUUAUUUUCCCCUAGACACCAAUUAUUCCUUUUUUAUUUUCCGUCUUUAUUAACGAAAGUGUUUACUGCCUAAGCCAGACACUGAGAGCCACCAUGUAUUCCUCUCUCUCUCUCACCUAUUCCCAUGUUUAAUCCAUUAUUUGGAUUGGUCCAUUUUAUCUCCAUUUUCUCAAAUACAGGAAAAGACAGAUCAUCAUCAACCAGCAAUUGUGACUAUCUACAUAUUCACAUAAGGAUUUCCCAACUUGGGGUAUUUUUGUCAAGUUGAGACCAGGCAUCUUGGAGUUAGUUCCAUCAGGUUACUGUGACUGUCAUCGAUAGCCUCCAAGGGAAAACAACUCACAAGAGUCAGCCUGGGACAUAUGAGAAAGAGAUGCCGGUCUCCUACCUCUUGUUUCCUCACUUGAAGUGCAACCCAUUUCCAACCAUCUUUUCUUUCCAACUACUCAGGGUCCUGCUUUGAUUUUUCUAUGCACACAGCUGACAUAUGCUGGGCCUAAGAAAGGGAGGCUGCAGGACUGGACAUGCUGGUUUGCUAGGGAACCAGUGAAUCCUCUGUGAAGCUUGUCCAGUGAAGACCCAAAUAUUUACAAAUUAUCAGGAAAGAACUCAUUCUCUUUCUCUCUGUAUAUUCUGUCUGUAUUGGCUUUCCAUUGCUUCAGUAAUAAACUACCGCAAAUUUAGCAGCAUACAAUAAAACUUUAUUAUCUUAUA
rnacentral:lncRNA from 1 species